rnacentral:misc_RNA from 1 species
AAAAGAAAUAUUUAAAAAAAAAAAAAUGAAGCCAGUAAAGUAAAAUUAAUCAUAUUAACAUUCCACAGCAGGCUUUUGCGCAACAGCACCACCAGCUGAAACUAAGUUAUCACCACCCCCAACCCCACCGCUAACUAAACAUCCAGGCAAUUUUCUCUUGGGCUUGGCUUCUUGGAGCAUCAACACAACAUCCCUCAUUGAGGGUCGGUCUGCUGGAUUCCGGCUAGUGCAGAGCAGUGCAAUUCUAAGCAUCUGCAUCAUUUCCUCCCUUACAGAUGCUAUAGAUGCCCCAGCAUUCUUGUCCAAAAUGUCAUUGAAACCAUCCUUAAUCUUGAUCUUAGACCUUACCCAAU